AAACAUAUGUAUUUUUCUUGCCAACGCCGAAACUGAAAACUGAUUGCAGUGGGCAUGCAGCGAGCUCAGGGAGCUGGUGGAAUCGCGGAUACGGCUCUCCCGCCUUGCGAAUCGGCCAUCUUCUAUACGUAAUAUAAGGUGACGUCCAAAUGUCACGCUCAGCAGCGGCUGCCCCGGAAAAGCGAAGGCGAAUCUCGCAGGCCAUGAUUUUAUUCACUACCGGCACCGGAAGCGAUUGUGGGAUCCGAAUACACGUCACAUUCGCCACGUUUUUUUUUUGAAAAAACGAAAGCGAAUCUCGGAGGUCACAAUUUCAUCCACUACCGGCGCCGGAAGCGAUUGUGGGACGCGAAAACACGUCACGUUCGCCAUGUUCCUUAAAAAAAAAAAACGAAAACGAAUAUCAAAGGCCACGAUUUUAUUUACUGUUGAUACAGGAAGUGAUUGUGGGAGCUGAAAACAAAACACAUUCGUCGUGAUUUUUGGAUAUUCCUGUAUUGCGCAGUGUUAUUGCCUUUCGCGUUUAAAAAAAAAAAAAGAAACUCGAAUGCUUCGAAAUUUCGUACAAUAAAGGAACAUUAACACGUACUAAGA